GGUUAUAGCUCAGUGGUAGAGCACUUGCCAAGCACGUGUAAGUCCCUGGGUUCAAUCCUCAGCACCA
rnacentral:tRNA from 1 species